rnacentral:rRNA from 1 species
AUUGAACGCUGGCGGCAUGCCUUACACAUGCAAGCCGAACGGUAACAGGCCGCAAGGUGCUGACGAGUGGCGAACGGGUGAGUAAUGCAUCGGAACGUGCCCAGUCGUGGGGGAUAACUGCUCGAAAGAGCAGCUAAUACCGCAUACGACCUGAGGGUGAAAGCGGGGGACCGUAAGGCCUAGCGCGAUUGGAGCGGCCGAUGUCAGAUUAGCUAGUUGGUGGGGUAAAGGCCUACCAAGGCAACGAUCUGUAGUUGGUCUGAGAGGACGACCAGCCACACUGGGACUGAGACACGGCCCAGACUCCUACGGGAGGCAGCAGUGGGGAAUUUUGGACAAUGGGCGCAAGCCUGAUCCAGCAAUGCCGCGUGCAGGAAGAAGGCCUUCGGGUUGUAAACUGCUUUUGUCAGGGAAGAAAUCUUCUGGGCUAAUACCCCGGGAGGAUGACGGUACCUGAAGAAUAAGCACCGGCUAACUACGUGCCAGCCGCCGCAGUAAAAC